UGCCAAUCAACUAGUUCACCUAAUAAAAUUCAAAACCAAAAAUAACCCCUUAAAACCUAAAAUCCUUAAGCUAAAACAUUUUUUCCCCUAGUAAAGGCGAUUGAACAGGAACACAGAAACAAUAAAAUAAGUACCGCGAGGGAAUGUUGAAAUAGAGAUGAAAAAGACCAGUUAAGCAAAACAAAGCAGAGACUAAACCUCGUACCUUUUGCAUCAUGAUUUAACAAACAAAACCCGGCAAGAAGAACCUCAGUCUGGGCCCCCGAAACUAAGUGAGCUACUCCAAGACAGCAUAAUUAAUAGUGCUAACCCGUCUCUGUUGCAAAAGAUGUGGGGAGAGCUUUGAGUAGUGGUGAAAAGCCUAUCGAACUUAGUAAUAGCUGGUUUUCUGAGAAAUGAAUAUAAGUUCAGCCUCUAAAUUUCUCUAUUCACCCACACAUUAAUCUAAUUAAAGUUACUAGGAUAAAAAGAAAUUUAAAGAGUUAGUCAGAGGGGGAACAGCUCCUCUGAUCUGAGCAACAACUCCUUAUUAGUCAGGUAAAGAUCAAAACAACUAAGGUUAAUUAUUAACGUGGGCCUAAAAGCAGCCACCUAAAUAAAUAGCGUUAAAGCUCAAAUAAAUAACCACCUGUAAUUACGAAAAAAAAUUCUUAACCUACUAUCAAUCUUAUCAGAAUAUCUUAUAUCACUAUAAGAGAAACCAUGUUAAUAUUAGUAAUAAGAGGUAAGAACCUCUCCAAGCAUAAGUGUAACUCGAAAUGGACUCACCAUUGACAAUUAACGGCCCCAAUAAACACAGAGGGUAUAGAAAAUAAAUUCUAAACCAGAAAAUCUUACUAAACUCACCGUUACCCCUACACUGGAAUGCAUUUAAGGAAAGAUUAAAAGGAAAAGAAGGAACUCGGCAAACUCUAGCCUCGCCUGUUUACCAAAAACAUCGCCUCUUGCUAUCCCAUAUAAGAGGUCUGGCCUGCCCAAUGAUAUUAAUUCAAUGGCCGCGGUAUUUUAACCGUGCAAAGGUAGCGUAAUCACUUGCCCUUUAAAUGAGGACCCGUAUGAACGGCUAAACGAGGGCUUAACUGUCUCCUUUUCCUAAUCAAUGAAAUUGAUCUCCCCGUGCAAAAGCGGGGAUGAUAAUAUAAGACGAGAAGACCCUGUGGAGCUUCAAGAUACCCUAUAGACCCGCUAAAAAUUUUCUAAUAAAGAACUAAAGCUAAAAGUAACUAGUAGAUAUCUUCAGUUGGGGCGACUGCGGAACACACAAAACUCCCGCGAAGACUAAGAACAUAUAAUUAUUCUUAAAACUUAGAACCACCAUUCAAGACAAUAGAAUCUCUAACUUUUUUUGAUCCAACCCGUUGAUCAACGAACCAAGUUACCCCAGGGAUAACAGCGCAAUCCCCUUACAGAGUCCCUAUCGACAAGGGGGUUUACGACCUCGAUGUUGGAUCAGGAUAUCCUAAUGGUGCAACCGUUAUUAAGGGUUCGUUUGUUCAACGAUUAAAAUCCUACGUGAUCUGAGUUCAGACCGGAGCAAUCCAGGUCAGUUUCUAUCUAUAAAAUGUUUUUCUCUAGUACGAAAGGACCGAGUAGAAGAGGUCCAUACUUCAAGUAAACCUCACUUAAAAUUAAUGUACCCAACUCAAAUAAUCAAAAAGCAUACCCUAUUACUAAAGAUAAUAGCA
rnacentral:rRNA from 2 species